AACCUUAUGGACCUGCGGGCGUAUACCUGCGGAGGGAUCAUUAAAGAGUUGCAAGACUCCCAAAACCACUGUGGACCUUACCGAAACCGUUGCUUCGGCGGGCGGCGCCCGGGCUCCCUACGGGGGCCCGCCAGCGCCCCCCGGCCCCCCUCGCGGGGGCGCCCGCCGGAGGUUCCAAACCAUUUAUCGCUUCAGGCCUCUCUGAGUCUUCUGUACUGAAUAAGUCAAAACUUUCAACAA
rnacentral:misc_RNA from 1 species